CAGGCUCGGCCUUACAACAACAAACAAAGUUUGACCUCAAAUCAGGUAGGACUACCCGCUGAACUUAAGCAUAUCAAUAAGCGGAGGAAAAGAAACCAACAGGGAUUGCCUUAGUAACGGCGAGUGAAGCGGCAAAAGCUCAAAUUUGAAAUCUAGCACUUUCAGUGUUCGAGUUGUAAUUUGAAGAAGGUAACUUUGGAAUUGGCUCUUGUCUAUGUUCCUUGGAACAGGACGUCACAGAGGGUGAGAAUCCCGUGCGAUGAGAUGUCCAAUUCUAUGUAAAGUGCUUUCGAAGAGUCGAGUUGUUUGGGAAUGCAGCUCUAAGUGGGUGGUAAAUUCCAUCUAAAGCUAAAUAUUGGCGAGAGACCGAUAGCGAACAAGUACAGUGAUGGAAAGAUGAAAAGAACUUUGAAAAGAGAGUGAAAAAGUACGUGAAAUUGUUGAAAGGGAAGGGCUUGAGAUCAGACUUGGUAUUUUGUGUUCCUUAUCCUUCUUGGAUUGGGUUCCUCACAGCUUACCGGGCCAGCAUCGGUUUGGAUGGCAGGAUAAUGACAUUGGAAUGUAGCUUUGCUUCGGUGAAGUGUUAUAGACUUUGUUGAUACUGCCUAUCUAGACCGAGGACUGCGUCUUUUGACUAGGAUGCUGGCGUAAUGAUCUUAAGCCGCCC
rnacentral:rRNA from 1 species